GGGAUCGUAGGUCUCUAGGUGCAUGUCCGGGGCGGCAACCCGGUUAGCAAGCCAACGCAAGUAAUUGCAAACGACGAAUACGCACUCGCUGCUGCUUAAUAUAGCGCGCGAUGUCCUCUACGAAGGCACUCCUGCGGUCUUGUAGCUGGGCAUAAACUUUAGUAGGAUAGUCUGUUGUAGUACCUCGGGCAACAGGCGAAACAAAGAGGUUGCUCCUUUCGGUUGGGCUGUCUUUUUCCCUGCCGACUGGCUAAGAUAAAUAAAAAGACUAAACAUGUAGUACCUUUGAUUGAAAAUACUUCGGACGUGGGUUCGACUCCCACCGCCUCCAUUU
rnacentral:tmRNA from 1 species